UGGUCUCCCUGCAUGCCUUGAGAUGGCACACAUUUCACUCUUAUUCUUCGUCUUGGUGUGCUUUACAAGUGUUAAUGGUCAGAGUCUUGAGUCCAUCCCUUCAAGUUCUGUCAGCAAAAAACCUGGAGAAACUUUGAAUCUCUCCUGUAAAGGAUCUGGAUUUGAUUUUGGACAAUCUGGCAUGCACUGGAUCAGACAGGCUGCAGGAAAAACAUUGAUCUGGAUGGGGGUUAUAUGGUACGAUGCCAGUAAAACAGUGUACACUAAAAGUCUUGAGGGACGAAUAGAGAUAACCAGAGACAAUCCAAACAGCAUGGUGUAUAUGAAACUCUCUGAUCUGAAAACAGAGGACUCCGCUGUGUAUUACUGUGCAAGUCAUACACAUUGAUGCAAACACUACACAGAGCUGUACAAGAAAACAUCAGAGAGGAAAAUGAAAGAUGUUGUCACAAGACCAGCAGAUGACGCUGGAGCAUAAGUCACUAGGGAUGGGCGAUACCACUUAUUUUCUUUUCAAUCCAAGCAUU